AGGACCUGAACCAUACAGCAGAAAUUUUUCUGUAUCCUUCCCCAGAUUUGUGCCUCAAGACAAUCCUGUCUCGGAGGUCUACAGACAAUUCCUUCAACUUCAUGCUUGGUGUUUGUGCUCUGACAUGCAUGGUCAACUGUGGGACCUUAUGUAAACAGGUGUGUGCCUUUCCAAAUCAUGUCCAAUCAACUGAAUUUACCACAGGUGGACUCCAAUUAAGCUGUAGAAACAUCUCAGGGCUUAUCAGUGGGAACAGGAUGCACCUGAGCUCAAUUUUGAGCUCCAUGGCAAAGGUUGUGAAUACUUAUGAAAAUGUGAUUUCUUCGUUUUCCAUUUUUAAUAAAUUCAAAAAAUCUCAAAAAAACUUUUUUCACCUUGUCAUAAUAAG